rnacentral:lncRNA from 1 species
GUUUAUGUGAAGUAUUAAGUUGAACCUUAAUUGGUGGAUUUUGUUUAUUUUUCUUGCUUUAUUUGCCUCUUUCUAAGAGAAAUGUAUCACAGAACAAAGAAUUGUAUCUUCAGCGUUCCAUGUGGUUGAGUACAUUUCUUGGAGAAAACUCCACGCUGAUCAAAUUAAGAAUCCACUGUAUUUCAGGACUAGGUUGGAGGUCAUUACCUGUUUAUCUGUUUUGUUUGUUUUGUUUUUAAGUGACUGGAACUUUUUUUUUUUAAACCCCAAACUUUCAAGCCGUCACACUAGGGAUGUCAGGAAGAAGCGUCGUGAGCCAUAAAAGGGCACUCUUUUCCUUUCGGUAAUAUCAGAAAGAACCAUGAAGUUAUCAUGGAGCUGAUCUCUGGAUUCAAGGUCGUCGUCAUGCUGCACUGGUCUAGAUCCCAGCUCUUCAAACUGGUUCUUGGAUCCGUAGCAGCAACAUCAUCUGGGAGACUGCAGAAAAUGCGGAUCAUCCACCCUUGCGGAGACCCAUAGAAUCCGAGGCUGCAUUUUCACAUGGAUUGAGUAACACUGGUCUGGAUGAUCAUUGCUCUCAAACAAUUUUUAAAGCCAGGAAAUCUUUUAUUCAAAGGAAAUCUAAGUGGAAGAAUGCUACAAAGAUACUCAAUGGUGGGAUGCUCUGCUUUUCAGGCCUUAUGACAGGGAAACCUUAGUCCUUCUGAGGUGCCUUUGUCGCCCUCCACAACUUCACCCUGGUUUCUGCCGUCUUGAGUAAGGCAUAAUUGGAAAACCCCUGAUCUAGAGUGUCUUCAGAGUCUCGAAGCUAUACGGACACUAUAAAUGCACAAUGUUUCAUAAUUCAGACCAGCCUUCAAGUUUAUGAGAAGCAGAAUAGCAACCUUUGCCAUGACUAUAGACAUAUUAGUUUGGUGAAAACAUAAUUGCAGUUUCUGCCAUUACUUUUAAAAAACCGCAAUUACUUUUCCACCAACCUAACAGUUUCAUGGUGCCGUCAUGAACUUGUCUGGGCCAGUGGCUACCAAACUCGUCCAAUCAUCACAAUCAUUAGAGAAUGUUCUUUGAAAAAUGAAAAUCCUGUGGAAUCAGAAUUUCCAGGGGAAGUAAGCUGGUAGUCUAUUUAUUUAACAGUCUCCAGGUGAAUUGAAAAGAGUUACAGGAAAUUCAGCUACAACCUUCAAAAGAGCAAUAUCAUCUUUCUCAAGAGAUGCUUUUUGACUUGAGCUACUCAAAUAAAUGCUUCAACUGUAUACCUUUUAGUUAAACCCAG